CCUAGCAAAGGACAUCUUGGUUGCUUCCAAAAUUCGGCAAUUAUGAGUAAAGCUGCUAUAAAUAUUCAUGUGCAGAUGUUUUUAUGGAUAUAAUUUUUCUACUCAUUUGAGUAAAUACCUAAGAGUGCAAUUUCUGGAUGGUAAGAGUAUGUUUAGAUUUGUAGGAAACUGCCAGACCAUCUUCCAAAGCGUUUAUCAUUUUGCAUUCCCACCAGCAAUGAAUGAGUUCCUGCUGCUCUACAACCUUGCCAACAUUUGGAAUUGUCAGUGUUCUGGAUUUUAGCCAUUCUAUUAGGUUAUAACAGGGUUCAAGAUGUGUACUUUCAUGGAAAAUGAUGUUUCCAUCUUUUCAAUGGUUGUUUGGCUCAAAGGGGUGGAUCAAGAACAAGGAACAUUAAUUGGUAGAGAGAAAGAAAAAAAAGUGACCAAUAAAGAAUCCCCUGAUCACUGUGUGGGCUGCAAAUAGCUGGGAUCAGACCACCCAUCCUGCUGUGUCCAACGCUCUGUGACUCCUGGAGCCAUGGUAUAAACCGAAUCUGCAGGGAGUGGCACACGCACACGUCUUUAAUUUCCAUUUCCUCAUUAUCAUCUCUUAUAUUCUACUGCUCAACAUGAAAAAAAAAAAAAGAGUGUGAGAUAUUGCUAAUAAACUGAUCCUUUCAAGCUUAGGAUCACAGCCCCGACAA